CCUGAACCAAAUGGAUUCUGAGCUUGUUGUGUAUUGCUACUAAAGUUUGGGUAAUAAUUCCCAUUAUUCUUCUGAGCGGACUGCUGCGAUUUAUGCUGAUCUUUAUUGGUAUUCUUAACUUCUAUCUUAACUUUGUCCGAUGAAUCCAAAGAGCGUGAGGUGGCUCAAGGGGGCCUAGCUGAGGCCACCGGACGGGUCGCAGGUUGCGGAUAUCGAACGGUCUACCUAGUUUAUAUAGGUCAGCUGUGAAUACGCGGAAAUAAACAGCCCCGUAGCAACACUGAUGAUGCGCUUGUGGUGCCGCCUCGUUUAAGAAGCUCACACACUUCCUCUCCCCACACAACACCUAUCCUCAUCCGCACCCACCCACCUCAAACCGGGCCGGACUAAGGUCUCAUU
rnacentral:lncRNA from 1 species